GAAUCCAAUUACACUCGAAGACUUCAAGUAUGGGUUAACUUCAACAUUUGAUUCAAAAAAUGGAUAAAUACCUCCACUUUUGUGAAUAUGGCAGAAAAUAACAAGGGAAUCUCAACUUAAAGAGGAAUUCGGAACAAUUAUGGUUACUUUUCUAUAAUUAUUAAAAUAAAUAAAUAAAUAAUCGUGAAGGAAGAUUAUGUUAAGUGUUAAUAACUGAUUUUGGAAGAAAUGCAUAAAGAUUUAAAUGAUGUAGGAAUAAGGAAGACGUUCUUCGAUUUAAAGUCCAACAUUGAGGAAUGGGAAUGCGUAGAAUGUUGAGGAGGCCAAAACCCACCAAGGAUUAUAGAGCCAAAAGAAAACGAAGAACAUCCAAGUGGAUUUUAAUUCAUAAUAACAGCAACCCAAAUUACAUCUUUUAUUUGAAAUCUAUUACACCUUUACAACCAAAUGCAGACAAAUUGUUGCAUAAAGAAUUACAUGGUCAUAAUUGUACGAAUUGAUGUAGCAAUAAGGGAGACGUUCUUUGAUUUAGUCCAACGUUGAGGAAUGGGAAUGGUGGAGAAUUGUUGAGGAGGCCAAAACCCACCAAAGAUUGUAGAGUCAUAAAAUCCAAGAGGAUUUUAAUUCACAAUAAAAGUAUAAAUAAUGUACAGAAGGAAAAAUAUCUCCAAGAUUAAGAUUAUACUGCGUAUAUUGGAACUCGGGGCUUUAAUAACAAUUAUUUGGACCACUUCUUAUCACAGGACUUCUACGUUUCAAAUGGAAUUUCGUCGAUUCCUUUGAGCGG